rnacentral:ncRNA from 1 species
UGAAUGGUCCGGUGAAGUGUUCGGAUCGCGGCGACGGGGGCGGUUCGCCGCCCCCGACGUCGCGAGAAGUCCAUGAACCUUAUCAUUUAGAGGAAGGAGAAGUCGUAACAAGGUUUCCGUAGGUGAACCUGCGGAAGGAUCAUUG